rnacentral:rRNA from 1 species
AUUGCCCUCUGGCGGCAGGCCUAACACAUGCAAGUCGAACGGUAACAGGAAGAAGCUUGCUUCUUUGCUGACGAGUGGCGGACGGGUGAGUAAUGUCUGGGAAACUGCCUGAUGGAGGGGGAUAACUACUGGAAACGGUAGCUAAUACCGCAUAACGUCGCAAGACCAAAGAGGGGGACCUUCGGGCCUCUUGCCAUCGGAUGUGCCCAGAUGGGAUUAGCUUGUUGGUGGGGUAACGGCUCACCAAGGCGACGAUCCCUAGCUGGUCUGAGAGGAUGACCAGCCACACUGGAACUGAGACACGGUCCAGACUCCUACGGGAGGCAGCAGUGGGGAAUAUUGCACAAUGGGCGCAAGCCUGAUGCAGCCAUGCCGCGUGUAUGAAGAAGGCCUUCGGGUUGUAAAGUACUUUCAGCGGGGAGGAAGGGAGUAAAGUUAAUACCUUUGCUCAUUGACGUUACCCGCAGAAGAAGCACCGGCUAACUCCGUGCCAGCAGCCGCGGUAAUACAGAGGGUGCAAGCGUUAAUCGGAAUUACUGGGCGUAAAGCGCACGCAGGCGGUUUGUUAAGUCAGAUGUGAAAUCCCCGGGCUCAACCUGGGAACUGCAUCUGAUACUGGCAAGCUUGAGUCUCGUAGAGGGGGGUAGAAUUCCAGGUGUAGCGGUGAAAUGCGUAGAGAUCUGGAGGAAUACCGGUGGCGAAGGCGGCCCCCUGGACGAAGACUGACGCUCAGGUGCGAAAGCGUGGGGAGCAAACAGGAUUAGAUACCCUGGUAGUCCACGCCGUAAACGAUGUCGACUUGGAGGUUGUGCCCUUGAGGCGUGGCUUCCGGAGCUAACGCGUUAAGUCGACCGCCUGGGGAGUACGGCCGCAAGGUUAAAACUCAAAUGAAUUGACGGGGGCCCGCACAAGCGGUGGAGCAUGUGGUUUAAUUCGAUGCAACGCGAAGAACCUUACCUGGUCUUGACAUCCACAGAACCUUGUAGAGAUACGAGGGUGCCUUCGGGAACUGUGAGACAGGUGCUGCAUGGCUGUCGUCAGCUCGUGUUGUGAAAUGUUGGGUUAAGUCCCGCAACGAGCGCAACCCUUAUCCUUUGUUGCCAGCGGUCCGGCCGGGAACUCAAAGGAGACUGCCAGUGAUAAACUGGAGGAAGGUGGGGAUGACGUCAAGUCAUCAUGGCCCUUACGACCAGGGCUACACACGUGCUACAAUGGCGCAUACAAAGAGAAGCGACCUCGCGAGAGCAAGCGGACCUCAUAAAGUGCGUCGUAGUCCGGAUUGGAGUCUGCAACUCGACUCCAUGAAGUCGGAAUCGCUAGUAAUCGUGGAUCAGAAUGCCACGGUGAAUACGUUCCCGGGCCUUGUACACACCGCCCGUCACACCAUGGGAGUGGGUUGCAAAAGAAGUAGGUAGCUUAACCUUCGGGAGGGCGCUUACCACUUUGUGAUUCAUGACUGGGGUGAAGUCAU